CUACGUGCCAGCAGCCGCGGUAAUACGUAGGGUGCGAGCGUUAAUCGGAAUUACUGGGCGUAAAGCGUGCGCAGGCGGCUUUGUAAGACAGAUGUGAAAUCCCCGGGCUUAACCUGGGAACUGCGUUUGUGACUGCAAGGCUUGAGUGCGGCAGAGGGGGGUGGAAUUCCACGUGUAGCAGUGAAAUGCGUAGAGAUGUGGAGGAACACCGAUGGCGAAGGCAGCCCCCUGGGUCGACACUGACGCUCAUGCACGAAAGCGUGGGUAGCAAACAGGAUUAGAUACCCUGGUAGUCCACGCCCUAAACGAUGCCAACUAGGUGUUGGGGAAGGAGACUUCCUUAGUACCGUAGCUAACGCGUGAAGUUGGCCGCCUGGGGAGUACGGUCGCAAGAUUAAAACUCAAAGGAAUUGACGGGGACCCGCACAAGCGGUGGAUGAUGUGGAUUAAUUCGAUGC
rnacentral:rRNA from 1 species